rnacentral:rRNA from 1 species
AUUGAACGCUGGCGGCAGGCCUAACACAUGCAAGUCGAACGGUAACAGGAAGAAGCUUGCUUCUUUGCUGACGAGUGGCGGACGGGUGAGUAAUGUCUGGGAAACUGCCUGAUGGAGGGGGAUAACUACUGGAAACGGUAGCUAAUACCGCAUAACGUCGCAAGACCAAAGAGGGGGACCUUCGGGCCUCUUGCCAUCGGAUGUGCCCAGAUGGGAUUAGCUAGUAGGUGGGGUAACGGCUCACCUAGGCGACGAUCCCUAGCUGGUCUGAGAGGAUGACCAGCCACACUGGAACUGAGACACGGUCCAGACUCCGACGGGAGGCAGCAGUGGGGAAUAUUGCACGAUGGGCGCGAGCCUGAUGCAGCCAUGCCGCGUGUAUGAAGAAGGCCUUCGGGUUGGAAAGUACUGUCAGCGGGGAGGAAGGGAGUAAAGUUAAUACCUUAGCUCAUUGACGUUACCCGCAGAAGAAGCACCGGCUAACUCCGUG